CCUACGGGUGGCUGCAGUGGGGAAUAUUGCGCAAUGGGCGAAAGCCUGACGCAGCGACGCCGCGUGAGGGAUGAAGGUCUUCGGAUCGUAAACCUCUGUCAGCAGGGAAGAACGGUCACUGUGCUAAUCAGCAGUGAAUUGACGGUACCUGCAAAGGAAGCACCGGCUAACUCCGUGCAAGCAGCCGCGGUAAUACGGAGGGUGCGAGCGUUAAUCGGAAUUACUGGGCGUAAAGCGCUCGUAGGCGGUAUGUCAAGGCAAGGGUGAAAUCCCCGCGCUCAACGUGGGAACUGCCUUUGAAACUGGCAGACUGGAGUGUGUGAGAGGAUAGUGGAAUUCCAGGUGUAGGAGUGAAAUCCGUAGAUAUCGGGAGGAACAUCAGUGGCGAAGGCGACUAUCUGGCACAUAACUGACGCUGAGGAGCGAAAGCGUGGGUAGCAAACAGGAUUAGAUACCCUAGUAGUC
rnacentral:rRNA from 1 species